rnacentral:rRNA from 1 species
UACGAAGGGGGCUAGCGUUGCUCGGAAUCACUGGGCGUAAAGCGCACGUAGGCGGACUCUUAAGUCAGGGGUGAAAUCCUGGAGCUCAACUCCAGAACUGCCUUUGAUACUGAGAGCCUUGAGUCCGGAAGAGGUAAGUGGAACUGCGAGUGUAGAGGUGAAAUUCGUAGAUAUUAGGAAGAACACCGGUGGCGAAGGCGGCCCACUGGUCCGGUACUGA